AGCACAAUUCUGCAUAUGUGCAACUAAGAAGCAGAGGGUCUUGACAAAAAUUGCUUUUGUGUUGGAGAAACAUAUGAUUGAUGUUGUAUCUAUCAACAUUAUACGCAAUGGAAUUGGAAAUGUGUACAUGAUUCUAGUUCAUGCAAGCAAAGGUUCAUAUGACACAAAUUCAAUGGAGAAAACUUACAAGCAAGCGGCUGGAGAAAUUUUGAUGUUGAUAUCUUAAAAUUUGUUUAUAAAAUUUGUAUUCUCGUUUUGUAUGAAUUUUAAUUUCAUUUAGUUUUUCUCCUAGAAACAACUAGAAAAGGGCCAAAGUUAGAGAACAGUCUAACUAGCAAACAAGUAUAAUAUUUAAAUUUUUAUUAAAUUAUAGUGAUUUUUGUUUCGUUAUGAGGCAUGAAA